GACGAACGCUGGCGGCGUGCUUAACACAUGCAAGUCGAACGGAAAGGCCCUGCUUUUGUGGGGUGCUCGAGUGGCGAACGGGUGAGUAACACGUGAGUAACCUGCCCUUGACUUUGGGAUAACUUCAGGAAACUGGGGCUAAUACCGGAUAGGAGCUCCUGCUGCAUGGUGGGGGUUGGAAAGUUUCGGCGGUUGGGGCUGGACUCGCGGCUUAUCAGCUUGUUGGUGGGGUAGUGGCUUACCAAGGCUUUGACGGGUAGCCGGCCUGGGAGGGUGACCGGCCACAUUGGGCCUGCGAUACGGCCCAGACUCCUACGGGAGGCAGCAGUGGGGAAUAUUGCACAAUGGGCGGAAGCCUGAUGCAGCAACGCCGCGUGCGGGAUGACGGCCUUCGGGUUGUAAACCGCUUUCGCCUGUGACGAAGCGUGAGUGACGGUAAUGGGUAAAGAAGCACCGGCUAACUACGUG
rnacentral:rRNA from 1 species